UACGAAGGGGCUAGCGUUGCUCGGAAUCACUGGCGUAAAGCGCACGUAGGCGGCUUUUUAAGUCAGGGGUGAAAUCCUGGAGCUCAACUCCAGAACUGCCUUUGAUACUGAGAGCUUGAGUCCGGGAGAGGUGAGUGGAACUGCGAGUGUAGAGGUGAAAUUCGUAGAUAUUCGCAAGAACACCAGUGGCGAAGGCGGCUCACUGGCCCGGUACUGACGCUGAGGUGCGAAAGCGUGGGGAGCAACAGG
rnacentral:rRNA from 1 species